UGGGGAAUUUUGGACAAUGGGCGAAAGCCUGAUCCAGCCAUUCCGCGUGAGUGAAGAAGGCCUUCGGGUUGUAAAGCUCUUUCGGCAGGAACGAAACGGUGAGCUCUAACAUAGCCUGCUAAUGACGGUACCUGAAGAAGAAGCACCGGCUAACUACGUGCCAGCAGCCGCGGUAAUACGUAGGGUGCGAGCGUUAAUCGGAAUUACUGGGCGUAAAGCGUGCGCAGGUGGUUGUUUAAGACAGAUGUGAAAUCCCGGGGCUCAACCCCGGAACUGCAUCCGAUACUGCCAUGCUCGA
rnacentral:rRNA from 1 species